UGCCUGAAAGGGGAAACAAAAUCAGUUCAUACUGAAAUUAGGGAACACAUCCACCACCUUUCACCUGGCAGAAAACCUCCACAACUACUACGUUUCCUGAAAGUCUGUGUCAAAUAAUCUGUUUCAUACUUGGAGAAACUACAAGGCUUUUAUAGAUUUUUUUGUGUGUGUGCGCACGCAUGGUAUCACAAUAGCAAUAGCAUGACAACACUAGCAAAAAAGUGACUAUGCAACUCUUAACCUGAACAAAUCCAAGUAAAAAGAGAUGCACAUUAAACGUUUAAAUGUUUUUCUAGUAUUACAUAUAAACCACACCCAUGAUCUCUUUAUUGGGUUUAUAAUUAUUCUUAUAGUGCUGUGUGAAAUUAAACUUCCUAACAAUCUUCCAAGAUGAGCUGAGAGCUCACUACAUGUAAAAUUAGAUAUGCUUCACAACUGUCAACAACAAAGGACUCUUGCUUAGCUUCCCCCAACCCAGAGAAUAUUCGACAUCAGAGACAAGUUGUUGCAAGGAUCGCUCACAACAGCAUUUAUGGUACACGCACAGAGGAGCAAUAAACUAUUAACAGGCCCAUGCACGGCAGAGACGCAUGGGAAUUGCUGUGUCAACGUAGGACUUUCCAUUCACAACGGUGCUGCCUCAAUGUCUGUGAGCACAGCACCCAAUGGAUUGCAUACAGUCUCUCCUCUCUUACACAGAGGCCGGUUCUUACUCACUAGCAAUCAUACGCGUGCAUAUAGACUCGUAAGGACGAUGCUUACAGUGUCAGCUCUGCGCCACAAAACAAGACAUUGUCCAGUUGUUCCCUGGCUUCACAUUGACUGGACAACAUGCAACAGGCCUGUCAAUGAUGGCUAGCUUUAGCUAAUGUCAACUAACCAGCGGCUCGGUUUCCACCAACACGCCCAGGAACUGUUGUGCCCUAUCAGCACCAACAGCAACAACCACAGCAGCCAAAAUGACAGCAGAGACAUGCCAGAACAGCAAAGUAGGUUGCCUGUACAACAAUUUCUAACUAGCUGUGGAACAACAGCAUUAGCCAGCAGUGAUAGUCUAACAUGGCUGACAGGAAAUGGCAGCUCAGAACAUUCCAGUGGAGCCGGCUCGGUUUUCCUAAGCUGGACAUGAGCAUGCCGAACAAAAAAGACACAGAUUUGACUAUUGUUGAGGUCAACUUGCCGUGCACUCCUAUCAAAUAAUGCACUAAGAACACAUGGCAACAUGGCAGGGGUUCCUUGAGAUGAUUAAGAUGCAUUUGCAAAAGAAAAAUGGUUGGCGAAACCGGCGCACAAGGUCAAUCCCCGAUGUGUCAAACCACCACAGCGACAACUGUCACGCAACGUCAGCUAGCGAACUUGCUAACAUAACGGGAGGCCCUGGAGCCAGAGCUCUGUGUUGUCAUGGUGAGCACAGUAGUGAUUCCCAAUCCCACCCUUGCGGGAGCUGCAUCCAUGUUGAUCCAGAACGACACCCAAGACAGGAUGACAGUCAGCAGGCUCGUUGUUUCAGUGAUGGAUCCAAAGCUGUUGAUGAAGAUGUUACAGGUCACGUUGACAGGAGAACCUGACGGGAGGACACAUCUUAGUAACACUGCUUCCUUAAAUACCACUGAUGAUGUUUUCUAAAAGGAACACAUCAAAUAUUAAAGCUGAUGAAGAGCAGGGGAUUCCUGUACCACAACAUCUGUUUUUUCCCUUCAUAAUAUGCCAUGCCGUGUCCUGAUAAAGAUUUAUCCACGAUAACAAGCCUGAAAUUGUGUUGUCAUUUCCAGUACGCUCCCAUUAGCGUAGCCCAUCUGUCGACCAUUGGAACUUUAAAUAUUUCAGUGAGUCAUUUCCGAAGAGGCAAUUAUUUAUUGAUUCAGUUUUACUUACAUUGGUGUGUUUAUAGAUAAUCAGCAGAGAUUUAUCCACAAUGCACCGACAAGGAUGUGGAGCAAAUAUGAAAUAUAUAUGAAAUUUGACCCUAGAGGCGGUGCAGGAACUAUGUGAGAGAGACUCUGCCAGUUUCACAAGAUUGGACUGGAAAGGGCCUUUGGGGUAACAUGCAAGGAUGACCGCACAUUUCUGUCAAAUAAAAACGAUGUGAAAGAGACGUCUGUGAAAAGACACCAUCACCUUAGGGUGUGGGACAACACAGAAACCGUAACAACACACGAGGAGGAAAAAAAGGAGAAAGACUUUCGCAUGGAGACAUCGUAGCUUGCAGCAUCUCUUGCCUCUGACCCAUCUGUGAAGGAUUUGUGCCACAUCACUGCACAGAUUGUUGUGCAAAUUGAGCGGCACUCUUUCUCACACUUUUUCAAAUAGAGCAGUAUUUGCAUGUGGGAGUGCAGUUACCUUUGAAAUUUGGUCUGAUGCGAGCAUCAUAGCCAGAUGUGCGUCCCAUCAGUUUGUCCAAAAAGUCAGAGGGAGAGGGCGGCUUGACUGCCCUGCUGGGGAACUUCAGCUCCUUACAUUGCACAGACCUACAGGGUGAUGGGGCAGUGAUGAUUCACUGACAUAAAUAUGAACUUAAUGUCUAGCUUCCUAAUUUGUAUGAAGAAGCUAAAAUUUAAGUUUGGACAUUACAUGCAUUUUGUGAUUAAAGGUGUCCUGCUGUGAAUAAAAUUGCAGGCUUUCUGAAUAAAAGAACAAUAUCCAUGAAAUUACUUUUUUCUUUUUUUUAAGAUCUGUUUCUCAAAUCUUGCAAAUUUAAUUGGGUAUUUUUACCUAAUGGAACUGUUGCUUUUAAUUAUAGAUUAAAAAAUAUUUAAUGCAUGUUUCUUUCCACUUAAAGAGAAAAAGCUGUGCCGGCAGCUUCUUUGUUAAAGAAGUAUCAGAGCAUGUAAGGUACAGUAACUGCCCCUUCAAAUAAGCGUGCAGGCUGGCGCUUGCAUUUUUGAAAGGAAAGACUUUCAAAACUAUCUUACCUGCCUUGUUGAAAAAUGACAAACGAAGCCCACAGUGGACACAGGAUGUGCAGUAGCAUUCUGAGUUGGUGGACCCAACAGAUGAGAGAAAAACAGCCAAAAUUUGGAAGGAAAAAAAAAAGAAAGAAAGCGAAGAUGCGGAGAACUUUCAGGCGCUGGCUCCUGGAGUCAGAUGAGCCUCCCUCCCUCUCUGCAGGUGUAAAAUACAGGAAGCUGCUGCUCUAUAAUUCAAAAUCCAAGGGAACUUUUUUUUUCCUCCUUCCCCUGCCUGUUUGUGUGGAUCACUUCAAGCUUUAUCUCUUUUUUAUGGCCAUAUGCAUGCUGAAGGAAUUACUGCAAGAAUUUUUAAAGGGACAGCAGCAUUUUUACGGCAGAGUUGCCCCCAACGAUGGUCUUCGACGCAGCCUCAGAUCUGCACUUUCAAAUAUUUGGGAUUCAAACUGUACUGCUUAUAAGCACUUUUAUUAAACAGAUCUAAUUAUGAAAGUUAAACACCUAUAGCUAUGCUUUUUUUUUUUCUCUUUAAUUUCUGGAUGAACACAGCUCUGCAGGUGCUUAAUCCACAUUUUAAAAAACUUUAAAGAGGCAUGUAAAUAAGCCUGAAAACUGUAUUUUAAUAACAAGGGAGGAGAACCUUUACAUUAAAAUGACCCUUCCACCUCCUUUUAAAAAUCAGGUUGUUCAAAGAUACUUUUGGUGAAACUGUAUUUAUAUUGCCAUCAAUUUACAAAACCACAUAACAUCAGCACUGAAUGGGCCUCAAAUUGGGCAGGAGAACAGAGAGGUAACUGCCAAGUUGGCAAGAUUGUUGUUCCAUGCAGAAGGGAAAUAAGAUAAAGGCAUAAUGUUCCUAUUAAUUCCAAUGCAACACAUCUCUGUGUCAGAACACAUCCAGAGGGGAUUUAUCUUUAGCACUGCUGUUAAAAGUUUCUGGUCUAAUUAUUUCAUCUACAAACUGCCACACAAAUUCACAUAUAAAUGCGGAAACUCAUAUUUGUUCCUCCACAUAGAGAGGGGGCAAGCUCAGCCAUUUCCUCAUGUAAAAUUAAUGUCAGAGAAAGCGAUGGGACGUAACGGCUGCACGUGUUUGCCUCACACUUGAAAAGGCCAUUCUCCACUCCGCUCUGGAGCCCACAGUGUCAAAUUGGAUAAGAAAUGUGUUGGAAUAUAAAACAUGAAUGCCUUCCUAAUAACAAGAAGUCCUGAGUAAAGAAAAAAAUAAAAAAAAAAUAAAAAAAUAAUUCUGUAUGCGUGCACAUUUUUACCUCUGGACAAGAAAAGUAGGCCAAGCUUCAUUUUAGUGAUAUUUUGCUGGAUUGCGAACUGGAUUUACUUCAUUAGAUCAUAUUACCGACGCACUGUUAAAUGGAGUAGUCAGGUGCUUUUUAUACAAGCUGGCUUUUCCCAUUUGAAACAAUAAAUAUGUGCUUUUGAUCUGUGGUCAAAUCACUAUAGCCCACAUGCAUAACCGUAGCAAAUGUAGCAAGCAGCACAAAUUGAUGCUCCGGUGGUUCAGAUUACGAUGAAGCACGCAGACUUUAACUACCGUCAAAACAAUCAAAGCUCCGAAUGGAGGUAAGCUUCUCGGUUGUCAGUGUCAUUUUUCUAGAAGCACAACUGAAAAUACAGAGAUGAGUGAUUUAAAAAUAGCUUUUAUUGCAGCUUUUUUUUUCUCCUCUGAACAAGCUGCUUUGAUCACACCGACGGAAACGAUGACCCAUGUGCAACAUUUGCAGCCUGGUGGGGGGGAAUGCAGAUAAGCAAUCACGCGAGUUUGGUGACAGCAGAAAGAUAACACAGAGACUUCUCCUAAAAGGAGGAAAAACAAGCGCAACAGAUAUAAAUUCCAAAUAUGAAAAUAUUUCACCAACAUAAUUUACAUUGAUCCUCAUUUGGUAAGUUUGACCAAUUGUGUCUUAGAGAAUGUGGCAAUGAGUCCCAGAGUUCAGCU